GGCGUGCCUUGGCGCGGGUGAUGUCGCCGCGCCAGCGGGGCGCGAUCGUUACCGUCAGUUCGAAUGCCGCCGGCGUGCCGC
rnacentral:tRNA from 2 species